AGUUGCCUGGCACAAGGAAGAAGAAAUGCUAAAAGGUUGCUCAAUGACAAAGCAGAAUGGUCACCACAAAACAAUAUACCCCAAUUAGAAAUCACACCAGUCAGGAGAGGGAGUAAGGACAUGUUUUGGGUGACUGAUCAGGACUGAAACACACUAUCUCUAGAGUGGUAUGGUGAACACAGAUGCCUUUCAAGGGAUGGAAAAUCCAACAAUGAAUAUGAAAGAGGCAGG